AAUGAAAUUGCUGGGUAAUAAGGUAACUCCAUUAAUUUUUUGAGUGUUUGCCAAACUGUUUUCCAAAGUGGCUGCACCAUUUUAAUUCCCACCAACAAU
rnacentral:pre_miRNA from 1 species